rnacentral:rRNA from 1 species
UACGAAGGGGGCUAGCGUUGCUCGGAAUCACUGGGCGUAAAGGGCGCGUAGGCGGCCUGAUCAGUCGGGGGUGAAAGCCUGUGGCUCAACCACAGAAUGGCCUUCGAUACUGUCGGGCUUGAGACCGGAAGAGGUAAGUGGAACUGCGAGUGUAGAGGUGAAAUUCGUAGAUAUUCGCAAGAACACCAAUGGCGAAGGCAGCUCUCUGGGACGGUACUGACGCUGAGACGCGAAAGCGUGGGGAGCGAACAGG